AUUCAGAUAGUUUAAAAAAAAUAUUGAUUUGUGGAGUCAGAGAUAUAAAAUAUAUUUUGAAUA
rnacentral:tRNA from 1 species